rnacentral:rRNA from 1 species
GACGAACGCUGGCGGCGUGCUUAACACAUGCAAGUCGAACGGAAAGGCCCUGCUUUUGUGGGGUGCUCGAGUGGCGAACGGGUGAGUAACACGUGAGUAACCUGCCCUUGACUUUGGGAUAACUUCAGGAAACUGGGGCUAAUACCGGAUAGGAGCUCCUGCUGUAUGGUGGGGGUUGGAAAGUUUCGGCGGUUGGGGAUGGACUCGCGGCUUAUCAGCUUGUUGGUGGGGUAGUGGCUUACCAAGGCUUUGACGGGUAGCCGGGCUGAGAGGGUGACCGGCCACAUUGGGUCGGGAAUGAGGCCCGGACUCAUCCGGGAGGCAGGAGUGGGGAAGAUUGCACAAUGGGCGGAAGCCUGAUGCAGCAACGCCGCGUGCGGUAAAACGGCCUUCGGGUUGUAAACCACUUUCGCCUGUGACGAAGCGUGAGUGACGGUAAUGGGUAAAGAAGCCCCGGCUAACUACGUG